rnacentral:rRNA from 1 species
AAGGACAUGUGGACAGUAUGGGAGUGAGAAUGUUGGCAUGAGUAGCGAGAUGUGGGUGAGAAUCCCACAGGCCGUAAACCCAAGGUUUCCAGGGGAAGGUUCGUCCGCCCUGGGUUAGUCGGGACCUUAGCUGAGGCCGAAAGGCGUAGGUGAUGGACAACAGGUUGAUAUUCCUGUACUACCGAUAACCGUUUGAGAGAAGGGAUGACACAGUAGGAUAAGCUAAGCACACUGUUGGUUAUGUGUGCCCAAGCAUUGAGGCAGUCAAAGUAGG